rnacentral:rRNA from 1 species
GACGAACGCUGGCGGCGUGCUUACACAUGCAAGUCGAACGGAAAGGCCUGCAGCUUGCUGCGGGUACUCGAGUGGCGAACGGGUGAGUAACACGUGGGUGAUCUGCCUUGCACUUCGGGAUAAGCUUGGGAAACUGGGUCUAAUACCGGAUAGGACAGCUGUUUAGUGUCAGUUGUGGAAAGUUUUUUCGGUGCAAGAUGAGCUCGCGGCCUAUCAGCUUGUUGGUGGGGUAAUGGCCUACCAAGGCGUCGACGGGUAGCCGGCCUGAGAGGGUGUACGGCCACAUUGGGACUGAGAUACGGCCCAGACUCCUACGGGAGGCAGCAGUGGGGAAUAUUGCACAAUGGGCGGAAGCCUGAUGCAGCGACGCCGCGUGGGGGAUGAGGGCCUUCGGGUUGUAAACUCCUUUCGACAGGGACGAAGCUUUUGUGACGGUACCUGUAUAAGAAGCACCGGCUAACUACGUGCCAGCAGCCGCGGUAAUACGUAGGGUGCGAGCGUUGUCCGGAAUUACUGGGCGUAAAGAGCUCGUAGGUGGUUUGUCGCGUCGUCUGUGAAUUCCGGGGCUUAACUCCGGGCGUGCAGGCGAUACGGGCUGACUUGAGUGCUGUAGGGGAGACUGGAAUUCCUGGUGUAGCGGUGAAAUGCGCAGAUAUCAGGAGGAACACCGAUGGCGAAGGCAGGUCUCUGGGCAGUAACUGACGCUGAGGAGCGAAAGCAUGGGUAGCGAACAGGAUUAGAUACCCUGGUAGUCCAUGCCGUAAACGGUGGGCGCUAGGUGUAGGGGGCUUCCACGCCUUCUGUGCCGUAGCUAACGCAUUAAGCGCCCCGCCUGGGGAGUACGGCCGCAAGGCUAAAACUCAAAGGAAUUGACGGGGGCCCGCACAAGCGGCGGAGCAUGUGGAUUAAUUCGAUGCAACGCGAAGAACCUUACCUGGGCUUGACAUCUUCUGACAGCUCUAGAGAUAGAGCCUUCCUACGGGACAGAAUGACAGGUGGUGCAUGGCUGUCGUCAGCUCGUGUCGUGAGAUGUUCGGUUAAGUCCGGCAACGAGCGCAACCCCUACGGUAUAUUGCCAUCAUUCAGUUGGGCACUUUUACUGGACUGCCGUUAACAAAACGGAGGAAGGUGGGGACGACGUCAAGUCAUCAUGCCCCUUAUGUCUUGGGCUACACACGUACUACAAUGGUAAUGACAGAGGGCAGCGUCAUAGCGAUAUGAAGCGAAUCCCAAAACGUUAUCUCAGUUCGGAUUGGAGGCUGCAACUCGCCUCCAUGAAGCCGGAAUUGCUAGUAAUGGCAGGUCAGCAUACUGCCGUGAAUACGUUCUCGGGUCU